rnacentral:lncRNA from 1 species
AAAGGAUCAGAAGUAGAAUAAGAAACGUACAACACUAAAACCCUAUUAGAGCUCCAAAUCGUGCAAAAUAGAACAAAAUAACUGCACAACUCUUCUUCAAAUCCCGUAAACUGAGGAUGCAUUUCUUCACGUCUCUUCAUCAUGCUCCCACAAUUCAAACUAUUAUUUCAGUUUACAGAAGCUUGAAAUCACAAAUUGUUACUUCCUUCUUCGGUUAAGCAGAGAGAAGUUCAAAUCAUUUUGGGAUUUUCUCUGUAUGCUGCCAAAUCAAAGACCAAGCCAGUGAAAGUCAUAGGUUUGCCAGAAUACAUUUACAAAUACAAUUAAGGAUCAGGUGAGCGAGAAUUCAACAUUAAGGAAUGAAGGUCUUGAAGUAAAUGAAGGAGACAUGGAGAGAAACACGGCACAAAUGGAGAAAAUGAUGUGAAUUUAUUGAAAACGGUAUCGGAGGAGCAAUUACUAAAAACUUGGAUAGAAACAGUUGGUGGAACUAAAAAAGGAAAAAUAUACGGGCUUGGUUCUAGAAAUUGUUUGCUGGCAGAUUCAAGGAAUUCUAAUUGUGUAUCCUCUACUGCUCAGAAUCAUUCAAAUAUUCCAACUCAACAAAUAUUUGGAACACCUGAAUUGCAGCAACUUCUUGACCGCAUGUUGGAGCAACGAAUGAUGAAUAUGCAAGUGCAAAUGGAUAUUCGGGAAUAUAUGGAAGCUCAAGUUACUAUUGCGGUUCAUGCUGCUCUGGCUCGGAUGCUUGGUUUUACUCCUCAACCACCACCAGAUGGAUAUGGUUCUACUACCCCAAAUUAAUGCACCUUAAGAUAACUUAUCUUACUAUUUUUAUGUUUUAAGACAUUAUGUUACUGUUUUAUGUUUUAAGAUAUAUUUUAGCUAGUAAACAUGUACUUCACUAUUCAAGGAUUGAUGAUAUUAUAACCGUGUUAUUUUGAUAAAUUUAUUUGAUUUAACUGUCUUUCAUCUUGUGUCAAA